UGUUGACGGAACCAGUGAAGCGAACGGGCUUGCGUACGCCGGUGGUGGGUAGGUAGCGCCACCGCCGCCGGAGGAGUGAGAAUCUUCCUUUGGUGGUUUCUGGUAAGGGGCGGCGUAAGGAGCGGAGGGUUGGCCGUAGGAGGUGGGGGGUGGUGCGCCGUAGGAUUGAGAUGGCGGUGGUGCGCCGUAGGAUUGAGAUGGAGGAGGAGCGCCGUAGGAUUGGGAUGGUGGAUGUGAGCCGUGGGAUUGAGAUGGAGGAGGGGCACCGUAGGAUGAUGGUGGAUGUGAGCCGUGAGAUUGGGAAGGAGGUGGUGCGCCGUAGGAUUGGGAAGGAGGUGGUGCGCCGUAGCCGUAACCGUAACUGGGAGGUUGAUUUGGGUAGCCGGACAUGUUGAAGAGUGAGAGGGUUUGUUAGAGAAAAUUAUAUGAGUGAAGAAGAGCAGAGACAAAUGAUAGUGGAUUUUGUGGAGGUUCUGGAUUUAUAUACAGCUACUCCUGAUAUAUGCUGAGGUGGAAUGGUUAUGUGGUUUUAG
rnacentral:lncRNA from 1 species